rnacentral:lncRNA from 1 species
UUAUUUCUUAAUGUAAUAAUCGUACAUCAAACACAAGGGAUAUGCUUACAUCUAAGACAUAUUUGUGUUAUAAUCAUGGGAGCAAGGAAGGGGAAGAAAGGAACUGUUGAUGACGAAGAGAUUCCUCUUAUUGACUCUAUCAUGGUAGCUAUCUGGAACCCCCCCUUUCUCUGGGUUCAACUCCCCUUAUAUAUAUUAACAACUUUCCCUUUUAUCCAAUGGUCUUUGACCGGCAUAUUUCUUAUGACCGUACCCUUCGUCGUUUGCUCGAACAUAACAUUUGUUCUGUGAUGUAAGCUAUUCUUGCUAUCUCGUCCCGGGGGCAUGCUACCUCUUG